rnacentral:rRNA from 1 species
CUGCCCAAGAGACUGGGAUAACACCUGGAAACAGAUGCUAAUACCGGAUAACAACACUAGACGCAUGUCUAGAGUUUGAAAGAUGGUUCUGCUAUCACUCUUGGAUGGACCUGCGGUGCAUUAGCUAGUUGGUAAGGUAACGGCUUACCAAGGCAAUGAUGCAUAGCCGAGUUGAGAGACUGAUCGGCCACAUUGGGACUGAGACACGGCCCAAACUCCUACGGGAGGCAGCAGUAGGGAAUCUUCCACAAUGGACGAAAGUCUGAUGGAGCAACGCCGCGUGAGUGAAGAAGGGUUUCGGCUCGUAAAGCUCUGUUGGUAGUGAAGAAAGAUAGAGGUAGUAACUGGCCUUUAUUUGACGGUAAUUACUUAGAAAGUCACGGCUAACUAUGUGCCAGCAGCCGCGGUAAUACGUAGGUGGCAAGCGUUGUCCGGAUUUAUUGGGCGUAAAGCGAGUGCAGGCGGUUCAAUAAGUCUGAUGUGAAAGCCUUCGGCUCAACCGGAGAAUUGCAUCAGAAACUGUUGAACUUGAGUGCAGAAGAGGAGAGUGGAACUCCAUGUGUAGCGGUGGAAUGCGUAGAUAUAUGGAAGAACACCAGUGGCGAAGGCGGCUCUCUGGUCUGCAACUGACGCUGAGGCUCGAAAGCAUGGGUAGCGAACAGGAUUAGAUACCCUGGUAGUCCAUGCCGUAAAC